rnacentral:lncRNA from 1 species
CAAUGCAAAUAUCCGAAUUUGAGGAAUCAAGAGAAUCAAGAAUUCCAUCUGACACAAGUUUCCGAAUUCUUUGUUUAGAUAUGUGACCCAAACGUUUGUGCCAGAGUGAUAAAGAAUUCUCAAUAGUUAAUUUUCUUUUGGUACCACUUGAACUUGUAUGCAAAGUUUCAUUAGGUGAGGUUAUUAUGUCAACCAAAUAUAGGCUAUCAUAUGUUGAUAAAAGACCAGUACCGAUAAGAUUUGAACCUUGAAAGAGACUAACUUUAUUGUCACNN